GACGAACGCUGGCGGUGUGCUUCACACAUGCAAGUCGAACGAGGUAGCAAUACCUAGUGGCGGACGGGUGAGUAACGCGUGGGAAUCUGCCUUUAGAUGGGGGAUAACGGGUCGAAAGACUCGCUAAUACCGCAUAUGACGAAAGUUGAAAGGAGUAAUCCGUCUAAAGAUGAGCCCGCGUCCGAUUAGCUAGUUGGUGGGGUAACGGCCUACCAAGGCUUCGAUCCGUAGCUGGUCUGAGAGGUACGAUCAGCCACACUGGGACUGAGACACGGCCCAGACUCCUACGGGAGGCAGCAGUGGGGAAUCUUGCGCAAUGGGGGCAACCCUGACGCAGCCAUGCCGCGUGAACGAUGAAGGCCUUAGGGUUGUAAAGUUCUUUUACCCGUGACGAUGAUGACGGUAACGGGGGAAUAAGCUCCGGCUAACUUCGUG
rnacentral:rRNA from 1 species